UACGAAGGGGGCUAGCGUUGCUCGGAAUCACUGGGCGUAAAGGGUGCGUAGGCGGGUCUUUAAGUCAGGGGUGAAAUCCUGGAGCUCAACUCCAGAACUGCCUUUGAUACUGAGGAUCUUGAGUUCGGGAGAGGUGAGUGGAACUGCGAGUGUAGAGGUGAAAUUCGUAGAUAUCUGGAGGAAUACCGGUGGCGAAGGCGGCAUCCUGGACCGACAUUGACGCUGAGGAGCGAAAGCUAGGGGAGCAAACGGG
rnacentral:rRNA from 1 species